CAUGCCAUCUGGCAAUCCCGGAUAGGCCACAGAAGGAGGAAGUGCGCCAGAUGCCUCAAGCACUUCCAAAUAAGGCUUGUUUACAGCUAAGCUCCUGGCAUCCAGCCAAGUGCCAUCUUAGGGCUGUGGCUCUCCACAGCAGGCCACCUCAUCUGUCUGGAAGGAUGGGUGAUGACAAUGUAGCCUCAGCUGCUCUAGAAGACAUGAGAUGGAGGGCAGGUGUAUGUGUCAGUCUCAUCAAACUGGGGUUAAAGCCUCAUCUGGGAAGUGCAGCUGGGACUUUGCAGAGAAAUGAAGGGUAAACGGAGGCUGGGUGAGCAGGGAGGGUCGGGCAGUGGUCUUAAUUCAAUAGGGCUCUGAUGGGGAAUGUACUGUGUAUGUUUAUCUUAUUGAUUGUUAAAUAAAAUACUGUUUGGCCAAUGAAAUGGCAAGUUAGGCAGGACUAGGAGUCAAAGAGGAUUCUGGGAAAUGUAGUAGAGAAGUGCCGAUCCAGGCAGGAAGUGACAUAGCAAGGAUACUCAUAUUUAAGCGAAGGAGAAACAGGAAGGGCCCUUUUUCCCGUUUGCCCCCUCCAGCGGCAGGAUGUGAGCCACCGGCAAGGAGGGACGCCAAUAAGGCGUCCGAUAAGCUCCUGCCUUUAGGAUCCUGCCUUGAGUUCCUGCCCUGGCUUCCUUCCAUGAUAGACUGUGAUAAUAGAUAUACAAAGAAAAGAGUCCACAUGGUGGUGUGAGCCAUUCCUGUACUACACACCUUCAUUUACAGUAAGUGCUGUGGGGUUGGCCUGAUGGCUCCGUCAGUAAAGUCAGAUGACCUGAGGAUCUCCAGGAGCCACAUCGUGGAAGAAGAGAACUGACUCCCACAAGUUUUCUGCUGACCUCUGCAGAUGAAAGGAGAGGAAAAGCUCAUGUCCACCACAAGGCUGAAGAACCUCAGAGCUGCCCAGACUCAAAGACUGCCUACGAGGGGCCAUCUCUCCCAACCAGAAGCAUGGGGCAGAUCCCUGGAGGGCAAGACCUGAAGAAGCCAUGUACAAGAUGCCUUUGAACUGGGAGAUGGCAGGGGCAGGGAGGCUAGAGGCAGGGAAGGUGAGCAAACAUUUCCUGGAAACUUCAGUCUAAAUCCUCUCCUCUCCCACCAUUUUCUGCCAAGGGCUUGCCUUGUAGCAGGAUGUGUUAUCAGCUUGUUGCAAAUUACAUGGUAAACACUGAUCCCCCCUAGUUGAGGCAGUUACCAGUCUCUUUGUUAGAUUAAUAAGAUUACAAGAUCUGGGCAGACUUUCAAAUGUUUCUCUUCAGAGGGUGGUAAGAGCAGCAAGAGGCUCACUGGGUUCCUGGUGUAGGAUCUCUAUUCUCUUCAGAGUGCACAAGAAAGAAAAGGGUUCUUAGGCAGAUCUCUGAGUUUGAGGCCAGCCUGGUCUCCAGGGCAAGUGCCAGGAUAGGCUCCAAAGCUACACAGAGAAACCCUGUCUCGAAAAACCAAAAACCAAACCAAACAACAACAACAAAAAAAAAAAAAAAAAAAAACAAGAAAAAAAAGGGGUUCCUGAUCCUUGGCCUCAGACAGAUUACAGUCAUGAACCAUGUCUCUGGCUUCGUAAUCAAUCAAAUGUUUAUGGUCUCACCUACAUGGCUUUUUCAGUCUUGUCCCAGAUUAUAAAUGGCUUUGAAAGCCACCUUUGCAAUCACUGGUUUCUUACAUCAUUCCUCGGCAUGUGGCCAGAAUGUCUGUCCUUUGGCUUGUAUCUAGACUCAUUCAUGAAGGCUUUUAUUCUGUAAUGCAAAUCACAUCUUCUUGUUGUCUCAUAUUAUGCCAUGUUUUGGAUAGUGUGAUUCCUUAACAAAUAUAAGCCACUUCCAUGUUGGCUGGGCAAGAGAGCAUGGCCCCAGGUGUCCCUGUGCUGGCCCUACUUACAAAUCUUUACAAGGUCCCAUUGUUCUCUCUCACCUCUCCUCUAUAUUCCUGGCUGUGGCUGUGUGUGUGGAUCUGGUACAGAUUGUGGGAAAAUGAAAAGAGGAGACUGUGUCUUGAAGACUUUGCAGCCAGCUGAGUGUGCAGACUUUUAGGAGUCCCCAGAAGCAUCUUCCUUCAGCACAAGUGUGCUCUGAUACCUCAGCCAGCUGCAGUUUCUUUAGGUCCACACACCCCACCUUGGCAAUAACCCAUUGUCUCACAGCCUAAGCAGUGUCAUCUCUCCUGGCUCUUAUUGACUGACCAAGUUCCUCCGACCCAUCGUGCCCUUCUGCACCACAUCACAGUCUUCCAGAUGCAGGACAGGGCUGCCCUUCUGGGACUCAUCCCCGAGUCCGCGCCUUGUCCACAUUCUGACUCACUGACUGAGGGGUAAGGUUCUCACCUGGCUUUGGACUUGAUGGCUUUGUUUACUGAUGCCCUGAGAUGCUAUGAAACCUUUGGGGAGCCUUCUAAGUUUAUUUGUUUUUGCUUUUUUGAGACAGGGUUUCCCUGUGUAACAGCUCUGACUAUCCUAGAACUGCUUUGUAAACCAGGCUGGCCUUGAACUCACAGAGAUCUGCCUGCCUCUGCCUCUUGAGUGCUAGGAUUAAAGGCAUGCACCACCACCAACCAGCCCAAAUUCAUUUUUAUAGCCCCUGUGCUGAGCUUGCAAGGUACUCAGGGACUGGCCAGCUCAAGCAAGGCAGACACGGCUCUGGCAGGCCUCGCCCUUCUCUAUUCCCUCUGCCUUGCUAUAAACCAUCAGAGUACAUUCCUAAAGCUAGCCAUCAAGAUCUAUUCCCUUAUAUAGCCACUUCCUCCUCCUGAAGCUGACCAUCAAGGUCCAGCUAUCAAAGUACUGAAGUCCAGCAAUCAAAAACCCUCUUUGGCUCACUUAGUCAACAUGCCCAAUUAAAAUUAAACACUUCAUCCUAAUAUGGGGUUUCCCUUUGUACCUUUAUAAACUGCCAUUUUCCUACAUACCACAUCUCUCUCCUCUCUAUCCAGAGGCAAUCCUUGUCCUCUGGGACAAAUACCCCUGCCUCCUUUCCUUUGUUCCCUUCCCCUUCUCCCUGGUCCCCUGUCUCCUGUCUUUGUCUCCUAUCUCUGACCUCUGUCCCUCUGGGGCAAAUAAAUCUCCUUUGUGCUGAGAACUUGGUCUUGGGGGUCCUGAGCCCAUACUUUUCCUUUCAAUGCCAAAUACUGAUAAUUUAGUAAAUGUUAAGUGAGUGAAUACAUAAAUGAACACACACAGAAAAAAAAAUAAAUGAACAUGUUAACAGAGAUAAGAGUUAACUUUAUUGAAAGGGCUUUUCAGUGUCCAGAGUUUGUACCCACUGGCUGACAUGGGUAGCUGCACUGCCUAAACUUCACAAGACCAAGAGCCCCAGUCCUGGAUGAGCCUGCCCUGCCCUGCCCACCCCCAAGAGAGAGCAAGGUGGGCACACAUCAACCAGGAGGGAAACAGGCUCAGAAAACACUCUAACUUCUGAGCAGGAAUCAGAAUCCACAUCUUGGGUCGUAACCUUUUAGUCCCCAGCACUCAGGGGACUCAGACAGGAAGGCAAGCCAAGGCGGAGCCGCCUGAGCUGAGUCCCGAAGCACAGAAUGGAGCAUCUCCCCAGUCUGCUCCUGGGACUGGAGGAGCAGCAGGCUGGGCUUGGGAGCUGGGACCUAAGGGACAGUGUGAGGUGUGGGAAGUGGGUGUGACCAAAGCCAGUGGUCAGGAGGGCCCAUGUCAGAGCAGGAUUCAUGGUCUAGGGGUAAGGUACUUGAUUCUGUCUGAGUGGCUCCCAUGUGGGUGGGGUGGGCACUGUAGCUCCUUUGAGGUACUCUGGGUCAGUAGGGGAGGGAGCUGGAGGUUGGGUAGUCAUCUGGUCACGCCAUUGGUGACUGAACAUGAAUUAGAGAAUAGAAAUCUUUGGGGUUUUUUGUUUUGUUUUUUGUUGUUUUGUUUUUAUUUUGUUUGUUUUGUUUGUUUGUUUGUUUGUUUUUGAGUCAAGGUUUCUCUGUGUAACAUCCCUGGCUCUCAUACAACAUGAUUUGUAGACCGGGCUGGCCUUGAACUCAUGAGAUCCUCCUGCCUCUGCUCCCUGAGUGCUGGGAUUAAAGUUGUGCAACACCACACCCAGCUUGGAAUAGAAAUCUUAAAAGAUGAAACAGACACACAAACAGUUGAGAUUCUUUCCCAUACUCCCCUGCCCUCUAUUUUUAGGUCAAAGAAAUUUCUCAACUGAAAGAACUCCCCAGCCUUGGCGGCUCAGGCCAUCAGACCUUUUUUGUUUGUUUGUUUGUUUGUUUGUUUUUCAAGACAGGGUUUCUCUGUGUAGCUUUGGAGCCUAUCCUGGCACAUCAGCCCUUCUUGCUCACUGUCUCCUCUGUUAUCUCUUCCCCUACCCACCGACCACCAAUCUGGAUUACAUCUGUUCAGCUUCCAAAGCUUUGCCAGUACCCAAGCAUCUCUCCAUGGCUGCCAGUGUGGUAGGCUGCACGACCACACCUGUGCACACCUAUAUGUCUGGCUCAGAUUUCUACGGCAGCAGCAGCAGCACCAGGCUGUGCAACUGCCUCUUCUGGUAGAGACUGAGCUCAAUAGCUGGGAAUAUUUUUAUCUUUGUGUUCCUGUGCCUAAGGCAGUACCCAACACAUAGUAAGCAGGAAGUCAAGUGAAUGAGUGUGUGCAUGAAUAAAUGAACCAACCAGUGCAUGCCUGGAUGAGUAUGCGAACAAAUGCCCUCGUGAAGACUGUCUCCCCUCUUUUCCAGCCACUGGGGGCAUGACAGCUUUACACUUGUUAUCCUGGCUUUCAGACUGUGUGUGUCGUCCUGAGAAUGCUUUUAAAGGAAACUUCAUUUUUGGAAAAUUAAUGAGCAUUUCAUUUGGUAAGGUGGCAAGCAUGAAACGCCCCAAAGGAGCAAAAACUAUUUAAGCGUGAGGGAAAGAAAAGAAUAGGGAAAGGCAUGUGGUCUGGGCUGUUGGCUUGCAGUGGCUGGUCUCUUGAGCAUAAUUGUGGACAAAAAUAAUCCCAAGCUUGGGAGACCAGAGGCCCUGUCACAAGUGACCUUGGAAUACAUUUUUAUUUCACCUCCUCUCCUGAGGAGCCAAUGGGGAAAGGCUUUGGAAUUGGCAAGGAACAGCAGGAAAGAGACAUAUUAUUAUUCUGCCUGGACUAUAAAAUAUUGCCUUGAGAAUUCAGAGCUAGCUCCACCUGCUCUCCCCAAAGAAAGACUAUUCUAACAUGACGUGGAUUCCUUUCACUUACUAAGGACUACAUUAAUUAGGAAACGUUUUCUGAGAUGUAAAAUUAAGUCUCUGAGUAAGCACAAUUCUUUUCAGGAAGUAGGAAGCACACGAGUCAAGCAGCCCUACCCUCAGAUGCGAAGCCAUCUGUGAUUUCAGAACAAGCGGUUUUGCUAGCUGGAGGUGGCACGCUGUUGUGAAAUGCUGAAUUAAAUACCACGACACAUUAUUAUGGUUUCAAAAAGUAGUUACAGGCUUCAAUAAGCACACUUUUAUCACAAGAACACACAACCUAAAGCCAAAAUAGUUCAGUUUAGCAUGCCAAAAAUCUGCUCACCCCAUACAUUGUUAGAAAGAGCAGUGGGAAAGGCAUCCAGAAUUUGCUACCAUUUCUCUCGAUGGUAGCCAACACCUCCUAGCUUCUUUGGCAAGGAGGCCAUUUUUGUAUGCUGUAUUUUGCACACAGAAAUCUGAAUACAGUGAUUUGCAUACCAAAACCACAUUUGUAAAAGAAACUGUUUGCAGAAAAGCCAGAGGGAGAUGGGGUUGCCACCAUUGACUUCUAUGUACAACACUCCCGGGUUGCUUGCUUUUUAUUCUCUUCUAUGCUGAAUCCCCACAAAGGGCCAUGUGCUUUAUGAGGCAUUAAAAAUUAAAGCAAAUAUAUCCUGCGUGUUUCUACAAACCUCACUAAUAGUAACAACGCGGGCAGAAUUGUUCCUGCCAACAGCCUGUCCAUUGUUUACUAAAAGGCUUGUAGUGGUAGCGCUAAGCACCACAAUACAUGGAUAUUUUAUUAUAUGUUAUAUUUUAAAUAAAGUCUGUCUUCAGGACAGGUGCCGUGGUACUCUGAUUUACAUAGGGAGAAACUGAGGCAUGGUGAAAUAAGGUACAUUGCCAAAGCCAUGCCAGCCAGGAGUAGUAUAGCCAGGUUUGGAAGCCUGGUCUGAGUGCUCAGACCCUGGUAGCCACCUUUAUCCCCACUGCCAUCCUCUAUCUUUAGUGCUACACCCCCACUUUAGCUGACUCUUCCAGUCUGAGGUGCGGUGCCAUGCUGGCUGAAGGGUACCACUUUUCUGACCAGAGCCUGGAAUUAUGGCAGCCAGACCCAAGGCUUAGAGAAGGCGGCUCAUAGCUAAUCCAGGGGCACACUGGGGUGAAUGGACAAGUGGCUUAUGAUGCUGCCAACAGUGUCAAGAGAGCAGGAUUGGUGGCUGCACAAAGGCCACACGUGGUCAUUGAAAUGCAAUGGAGGUCUUCUGCCCAGUGCGCAUGUGCCUCAGUGCCAGCCCAGCUGUGUACUUGGAAACAUAGCGCUGUCUGUGUGGGCUUAAUUAGAAUGCUGCUUACAGAGACCUUAUCGGUAGCAAGUCAGAUGCUCUGUGCUCUUCGUAAGAGAAAACGUCAGUAGUAGUUCUUUUAAAUUGGUUUAUCUGAUGAGUACUUUGGAUGUUUCCCAUAUACAGCAUUUGAAAGAAAUUAGCCAUUUCUGCAAAGAAAAAGGUCAGAAUGAAAAGGCCACGAAUGCUUGAAAAAAAAAUGGGAUUAUAAACAUUUGCUUUCUUUAAAGGUGUCCUUUUGGUUUUGUGUUUUUCUCUCCCAGUCUCCAUUUUCAGGCAUAAAACUGUAAUACACGUUUAAUCAUAUCCACAUUUAAUCAGGUCAGCAUUGUCCGAAGGCUGGUGGUUCUGAGACCUUCCAGUGUACUAGUUUCUUUUGGAGACCCAUCUUCCUGAUGCUUUCAGUGCUAAGUUCCAUUUGAUGUGAUCUGUAACAGCUCAGCCUUUUGGCAAGUUCCAACCUGAACAAGGAACUGAUGGGCUCCCAAAGCAGUCCCAUCAGGAGAAGUUUGGGCGUGUUGUCAUUACGACUUGACCUUAGUUAAUCUCUGGAGCCUCA
ensembl:lncRNA